UACGUAGGGGGCUAGCGUUGUCCGGAAUCAUUGGGCGUAAAGCGCGUGUAAGCGGUUCGGUAAGUCCGCUGUGAAAGUCGGGGGCUCAACCCUCGAAUGCCGGUGGAUACUGUCGGACUAGAGUACGGAAGAGGCGAGUGGAAUUCCUGGUGUAGCGGUGAAAUGCGCAGAUAUCAGGAGGAACACCAAUUGCGAAGGCAGCUCGCUGGGACGUUACUGACGCUGAGACGCGAAAGCGUGGGGAGCAAACAGG
rnacentral:rRNA from 1 species